UACAGAGGUCCCAAGCGUUUGUUCGGAUUCAUUGGGCGUAAAGGGUGCGUAGGUGGCGCCAUAAGUCAGGUGUGAAAUUUCGGAGCUUAACUCCGAAACUGCAUUUGAUACUGUGGUGCUUGAGGACUGGAGAGGAGACUGGAAUUUACGGUGUAGCAGUGAAAUGCGUAGAGAUCGUAAGGAAGACCAGUGGCGAAGGCGGGUCUCUGGACAGUUCCUGACACUGAGGCACGAAGGCCAGGGGAGCAAACGGGG
rnacentral:rRNA from 1 species